GCCAGAUGUGGUGGUGCACACCUGUAGUCCUAGCUACUUGGGAGGCUGAGACAGGAGGAUCUCUUGAGUCUAGGAGUUCUGGGCUGUAGUGCGCUAUGCCGAUCGGGUGUCCACACUAAGUUCAGCAUCAAUAUGGUGACCUCCCCGUAGCUGGGGGGGGGGGGCACCAGGUUGCCUAAGUGGGAGUGAACCAGCCCAGGUUGGAAACAGAGCAGGUCAAAACUCUUCGUGCUGAUCAGUAGUGGGAUCACAUCUGUGAAUAGCCACUGCACUCCAGCCUGAGCAACAUAGUGAGACUUCGUCUCUU
rfam:Otolemur garnettii contig152574, whole genome shotgun sequence.